AUGCAAUGUGUGUUAACUCCUGAAACAGAAGGCUAUGACCAGAUAGACUCUAUCAAUACAGGGGCCUCAGUGUUAGUGGAUGGAGUUGUAGCAAGCAGCCAAGGCGGUAAGCAGAAAGUGGAGCUAAAGGUUUCAAAGAUCAUUGUGAUUGGGGAGAGUGAUCCCACAUCUUUUCCUAUACAGAAGAAACGAGCAUCAAGAGAAUUUCUGAGGACUGUGGCACAUCUCCGUCCUCGGACAAACACUUUUGGUGCAGUGGCAAGAGUAAGAAAUGCUCUGGCAUAUGCAACUCAUAAAUUUUUUCAAGACAGUGGAUUUAUUUGGGUAUCAAGCCCUAUUAUUACUGCCUCAGAUUGUGAAGGAGCGGGGGAGCAGUUCUAUGUCACUACUUUGCUUUCAAAUAGUGCUGAAGGAGGCUGCCUAGUCAACAGCAUUCCUUCGAAGGAUGGAAGGGUCGAUUGGUCACAGGAUUUCUUCUGCAAACCAGCAUUUCUGACGGUGUCUGGACAACUGAAUGGCGAAACAUAUGCUUCAGCUCUAUCUGAUAUUUACACAUUUGGUCCCACAUUUAGGGCUGAAAAUUCAAACACUUCAAGGCAUUUGGCUGAAUUUUGGAUGAUUGAGCCUGAACUUGCCUUUGCUGAUCUAAAUGAUGACAUGGCGUGUGCAAGUGCAUAUCUCCAGUAUGUAGUAAAGUAUAUUCUUGAGAACUGCAAAGAAGAUAUGGUUUUUUUUGAUACGUGGGUUGAGAAAGGGAUCAUAGAUAGACUAAAUAAUGUAGCUGAGAAAAACUUUGUUCAGAUGUCAUAUUCUGAUGCUAUCAAGCUACUUAUUGGGUCCAACAAGAAAUUCGAGUUCCCGGUAAAGUGGGGGUUGGAUCUGCAAAGUGAGCAUGAAAGAUAUAUCACAGAAGUCGCAUUUGGUGGCAGUCCUGUAAUAAUUAGAGAUUAUCCAAAGGAAAUCAAAGCUUUCUAUAUGCGACAAAAUGAUGACGGGAAAACAGUUGCGGCAAUGGAUCUAUUGGUUCCUGGGGUAGGUGAACUUAUUGGAGGAAGCCAAAGAGAAGAACGACUUGAUUACCUUGAAGGUCGGCUGGAUGAAUCAAAUCUUAACAAAGAUAGCUACUGGUGGUAUUUGGAUCUGCGACGAUAUGGAUCAGUUCCUCAUGCUGGUUUUGGCCUUGGAUUUGAACGGCUUGUACAGUUUGCAACCGGAAUAGACAACAUCAGAGAUGCCAUUCCAUUUCCCAGGGUUCCUGGUUCUGCAGAGUUUUAG
rnacentral:rRNA from 1 species